rnacentral:rRNA from 1 species
AUGCCGGUAACAAGAGGGCGCGCCGCGGCGGCGGCGGCAGAUGAGGAAGAGGGCCACGCGCCCAUCGACAUCUCCUCGGAUUCCGAUGCCGGCGGAUCCGAAGAGUCCGGGUCGUCGUCGUCGGAGGAGGAGCCCGGCAGCGACGAAGACUACAUCGACAUCAGCGACAGCGGCGAGAGCUGCGUCGACAUCAGCGAUAGCGGCGAGAGCUACGUCGACAUCAGCGACAGCGACGGCGACGAAGAGGACGACGAUGAAGAAGGCAGCAGCGCCGGGAACGAGGGGGAAGCGGAGGCGGACCGGCCCGGCGCGGAUCUGAGCGAGGCUGCCUGCACAAAAAUCGCCGAUCUCCUCCGGCGAGGGAGAAACCUGGAUGGUAUUAAGUUGGCGGAGUGCAAAGCAUAUUUAAAGAAUAAUGGUCUUCCCCAAGUUGGGGACAUAGCAACUUGUGUCGAAAGAAUAAUGCUGCAUCGUAGGUUCAAAGACGAAGAUCCAGAGAAGAUUUAUCCUCGGUCAUCCUUUUGUAUUAACUGUAAAGGCGAUGUCUGUCGAGGUGAUACUGUCUUAUUCAAACAAAAGGUUCACGAGAAAAGCGGCAAAAGGCACUCAAAAUGUAUGGGGAAGCGAAUAGUAGCUGGGAAAGUUGUCAAAGAAAGCUAUGGUAAAGACAAGCAACAACACACAUUUACUAUUCAAGUGUUCUGGAGCAAAGGAGUAGGCAAAUUACCACCUUUGUAUCUGCUACUUGUCAAAGGACGCAAUCUAUACAGAAUGAUGACUUUCCGUCAGGCUUGGGCGAAUGAAGCGAAUAGGUUGAAGGCUCUAGAAGAAAAGCACAAUAGAGGAGAUGCUGCAAGGCGUGUCCGUGCUUCAAAUAGACGUAAUUCUGGAGGACACGCUCUUAAGGGCAAGAAAUCAAAGGAAAAAGGAAAGCAUCAGUCUCAACCUGGACGGCCUGAUGGUGGAUCCAAUAGCACUAAAGGCGGAAAACGUGCUAUGCAAUCCUCCAAUUCUGAUCAUCCUGCCAAAAAAAUUCGAAAAGAAGAGCACUGGGUGUCUUCUAGAAAAAACUUCACUGAUGGUCGUCGGAAGGCAAGGACAAAUUCUGCCCCCCUGGAUAAGAACAUUGGCAUCGGCACCAGCAGUUCUCAGCAAAAUGCCAACACGGAGACAAAUCAUGCCAUCUCGCAGAAAAACUUGCGAACAACACCAGUUAACUAUGGUCUGCGUAACACGGAGGCUAGGGUGAGUAAAGGAAAAGCCGGUUCGAAGCAAAAAAACACUGUUGGUGGCAACCAUGAUCAUUUUGAAGGAAGGCGCGUAAGUUCAGCUUCUCACCCGCAGGCUUACCCAGGAAAUUCAGUUGGGAUGCAUCAUCCUUUAUCUGAGAGGCCCCAGCGGCCACCUCCAUUGCGCGAAGUUGGCAAUGCCUGGCAACAUCAUAUGGACGGCAGAUCAAUUUCAUGUCCAAACCCUACAAUGGUUUUCGGACAACCAAAUGCAGCACCGGCUGGCUGGCGUGCGCCUGGUUAUUUCAGGGGACCUCCACCUGAUCAACGCGCGGUGGUAUUUCCACCAUUCAACACGUCGCAAACUAUAUACCGCCGUCAUCCAGAUGGGGCAAAUGUGAUGCCGCAGUACAGAUAUUCUGGUGGUAGUAAUGGUUUUCCACGAUAG